AUCCCUGUAGCGCAAUGGAUAGCGCGUUGGACUUCUAUUCCAAAGGUCGUGGGUUCGAAUUCCACCUGGGAUG
rnacentral:tRNA from 1 species